AAUCCGAUUCAAAGUGUAGUAUCUGUUAUCAGCUUAAUAUCUGAUAUGUCCUCUAUAUGAGGACUCUAUAUUAAAUGGAUUUUUAGAGCAGGGAUUUGGAAUUAGAGCUUGCUCUGUCCACUCCACGCAUUGGCCUGGUAUUGCAGUAUCUCCAGGAACGGUACACUCAUUACAAAUGUCAAGAAAAGACAAAGAAAUUUCACAGAGUGACUUUGUAAGUGCUUUAUUUAACUUAACUUAACCUUACUUACUUACUUACUUACUUACUUACUUACUUACUUACUUACUUACUUCACUUCCUUACUUCACUUCCUUACUUCACUUCACUUCACUUCACUUCAUUUACUGCGCAGCUGUGCCCAAUCAGCAGUUAAUCCUCUGUUCCCCUGCACCCAUUGCCCUNNAUUGCUAAGACCGCCUCCUUGC
rnacentral:snRNA from 1 species